rnacentral:rRNA from 1 species
UACGUAGGGUGCAAGCGUUGUCCGGAAUUAUUGGGCGUAAAGAGCUCGUAGGCGGUCUGUCGCGUCUGCUGUGAAAACUCAGGGCUUAACCCUGAGCUUGCAGUGGGUACGGGCAGACUAGAGUGCGGUAGGGGAGACUGGAAUUCCUGGUGUAGCGGUGAAAUGCGCAGAUAUCAGGAGGAACACCGGUGGCGAAGGCGGUGGUCUGGGCCGGAACUGACGCUGAGGAGCGAAAGCGUGGGGAGCGAACAGG